AACGAACGCUGGCGGCAUGCCUAACACAUGCAAGUCGAACGAGACCUUCGGGUCUAGUGGCGCACGGGUGCGUAACGCGUGGGAACCUGCCCUUAGGUUCGGAAUAACUCCCCGAAAGGGGUGCUAAUACCGGAUAAUGUCUUCGGACCAAAGAUUUAUCGCCUUUGGAUGGGCCCGCGUUGGAUUAGCUAGUUGGUAGGGUAAAAGCCUACCAAGGCGACGAUCCAUAGCUGGUCUGAGAGGAUGAUCAGACACACUGGGACUGAGACACGGCCCAGACUCCUACGGGAGGGAGCAGUGGGGAAUAUUGGAAAAUGGGCGAAAGCCUGAAGCAGCAAUGCCGCGUGAGUGAUGAAGGCCUUAGGGUUGUAAAGCUCUUUUACCCGGGAUGAUAAUGACAGUACCGGGAGAAUAAGCUCCGGCUAACUACGUG
rnacentral:rRNA from 1 species